CCUACGGGAGGCUGCAGUGAGGAAUAUUGGUCAAUGGACGAGAGUCUGAACCAGCCAAGUAGCGUGAAGGAUGACUGCCCUAUGGGUUGUAAACUUCUUUUAUAUGGGAAUAAAACGUUCCACGUGUGGGAUUUUGUAUGUACCAUAUGAAUAAGGAUCGGCUAACUCCGUGCCAGCAGCCGCGGUAAUACGGAGGAUCCGAGCGUUAUCCGGAUUUAUUGGGUUUAAAGGGAGCGUAGGUGGAUUGUUAAGUCAGUUGUGAAAGUUUGCGGCUCAACCGUAAAAUUGCAGUUGAAACUGGCAGUCUUGAGUACAGUAGAGGUGGGCGGAAUUCGUGGUGUAGCGGUGAAAUGCUUAGAUAUCACGAAGAACUACGAUUGCGAAGGCAGUUCACUGGACUGCAACUGACACUGAGGCUCGAAAGUGUGGGUAUCAAACAGGAUUAGAUACCCGGGUAGUC
rnacentral:rRNA from 1 species